AUUUGAUGAUGGGGGCAGCUUGCACACAACCGCUUGAAUCUUUCCCAAUACUCAUAUAAAGACUCUCCUGUUUGUUGAUGAAUGCUACAAAUUUCCUUCCUGAGACU